rnacentral:rRNA from 1 species
AGCGGACGCUGGCGGCAGGCCUAACACAUGCAAGUCGAGCGCCGUAGCAAUACGGAGCGGCAGACGGGAUAGUAACACGUGGGAACGUGCCCUUUGGUUCGGAAUAACUCAGGGAAACUUGAGCUAAUACCGGAUAAGCCCUUACGGGGAAAGAUUUAUUGCCAUUGCAGUGGCCCGCGUCGGAUUAGCUAGUUGGUGAGGUAAUGGCUCACCAAGGCGACGAUCCGUAGCUGGUCUGAGAGGAUGACCAGCAUCACUGGGACUGAGACACGGCCCAGACUCCUACGGGAGGCAGCAGUGGGGAAUAUUGGACAAUGGGCGCAAGCCUGAUCCAGCCAUGCCGCGUGGAUGAUGAAGGCCCUAGGGUUGUAAAGUCCUUUUAACGGGGAAGAUAAUGACGGUACCCGUAGAAUAAGCCCCGGCUAACUUCGUGUCAGCCGCCGCAGUAA